ACCUAGCAAAGGUGGAGUCUACUUUCAUUGCGGCAAUUUAGACCACCUGAAAGACUUCUUUUAAAAUAUGAUACAAUGAUUCUCAUGUCACUAUUUGGGCCAUCCUUUAGAUCUUGCAAGUCGGAUCCUCUAAAAGUCAAGCUACAGCCUUCUAAAUGAUAGCUUCCUAUCCAAGCAAAUUACUCUCAAUACUAUUGUAAAUAUUCAAACUCUCCACAACC
rnacentral:lncRNA from 1 species